GGCCGACUACCGACGCCGUGUCCUGUCAUUCGUGUGGCUUMUGUUACUGUURCCUUUCAAGUGYWUGCGUGCAGGUACCCGACCUACGGGAAGUGGUGCYUCGUAYACGUUUGCCUCGCAGCGGACGCCUUCGGGWGUCCCGCUGCGGCCAAAUGGCGCUUGCGGCGUUGCCUCGUGGUGCUGGCACGUUUACAUGCCCGGUGCUAUCAAGGCAGCCUCGCUCGUGCUAUUGGUUUUGGAUGUUGCUCACGAUAAAGGCUCAUGGCCCUUUUGGUUGCCUAGACCCGACCCUCAAGAAGCUCUCCGAAUCUGAAAGCAUCGUAGAACUGUGUUGCCUCUACCUAUCCAWAGUUARUGGUAGGAUACGUAACAUUCUGGACCCUUGCUAGUACGAGUAGGAGAGCUUUGCCCGCUCAAUUGCGACAACCGGCCCGGYUGUUGUCCGCCUGUAUUGCCUAGACCCGAUCUGACCCUCAAGAAGCUCUCCGAAUCUGAAAGCAUCGUAGAACUGUGUUGCCUCUACCUAUCCACAGUUAGUGGUAGGAUACRUAACAGUCUGGACCCUUGCUAGUAGGAGUGGAGAGCUUGGCCCCGCUCAAUUUACGAUAAAGGCUCAUGGGCGGGCAACUACUGGCGCUGGACGUCAAAGAGGACGUGCUACCUGGUUGAUCCUGCCAGUAGUC
rnacentral:misc_RNA from 1 species